rnacentral:rRNA from 2 species
UCCGGUUGAUCCUGCCGGACCCGACUGCUAUCGGGGUAAGACUAAGCCAUGCUAGUCGAACGCCUCAAGCUAAGAUGAGGCGUGGCGUACAGCUCAGUAACACGUGGUCAACCUACCCCACGGACGACCACAACCUCGGGAAACUGAGGAUAAUGGUCGAUAGGAAAGACGAUCUGGAAUGACGUCUCUCUGAAAGAGGCUACGAGGCAUGCUUUCGUAGUCCACCGUGGGAUGGGACCGCGUCCGAUCAGGUAGAUGGUGAGGUAACGGCUCACCAUGCCUAUAACCGGUACGGGCCCUGAGAGGGGGAGCCCGGAGAUGGACCCUGAGACAAGGGUCCAGGCCCUACGGGGCGCAGCAGGCGCGAAACCUCCGCUAUGUGCGAAAGCUCGACGGGGUUACCCCGAGUGCCGACCGUAGAGGUUGGCUUUUCUCGAGUCCAAAAGGCUCGUGGAAUAAGGGGAGGGCAAGAUUGGUGUCAGCCGCCGCGGUAAAACCAACUCCCCGAGUGGUCGGGACGAUUAUUGAGCUUAAAGCGUCCGUAGCCGGUCCUGUAAGUUUCCCGUUAAAUCCGGCGUCUGAAGCGUUGGGCUGCGGGGAAUACUGCUGGACUUGGGAGCGUGAGAGGCCGGCGGUACUGAUGGGGGAGGGGUAAAAUCCUCAGAGCCCAUCAGGACCAUCAGUGGCGAAGGCGGUCGGCUAGCGCGCGUCCGACGGUGAGGGACGAAAGCUGGGGUAGCGAUCCGGAUUAGAUACCCGGGUAGUCCCAGCUGUAAACGAUGCAGGCUAGGUGUGCGAGUGGCUACGAGCCGCUCAUGUGCCGUAGGGAAACCGUUAAGCCUGCCGCUUGGGAAGUACGGUCGCAAGGCUGAAACUUAAAGGAAUUGGCGGGGGAGCACCACAAGGGGUGAAUCCUGCGGUUCAAUUGGAGUCAACGCCCGGAAGCUUACCAGAGGAGACAGCAGAGUGAAGGCCAGGCUGAAGACCCUGCUGGACGAGCUGAGAGGUGGUGCAUGGCCGUCGCCGGUUCGUACCAUGAGGCGUCCUGUUAAGUCAGGCAACGAACGAGACCCGCGCCCUCAGUUGCUAGGAUGUCUCUUUGGAGGCAUCAAGGAAACUGAGGGGACUGCUCCCGCAAGGGGGAGGAAGGAGCGGGCUACGGCAGGUCAGUAUGCCCUGAAUCCUCUGGGCCACACGCGGGAUGCAAUGGCACGGACAAUGGGUUCCGACCCCGAGAGGGGAAGGCAAUCCCGAAACCGUGUCCUAGUUGGGAUUGAGGGCUGAAACUCGCCCUCAUGAACAUGGAAUCCCUAGUAACCGCGCGUCAUCAUCGCGCGGUGAAUACGUCCCCGUUCCUUGCACACACCGCCCGUCGCUUCAGCCGAGCUGGGUCGGGUUGAGGAUCGACCACCUUGGUCGGUUCGAGACCGGGUUCAGUGAGGGGGAAGAAGUCGUAACAAGGUAACC